UGCUGCAUAUACACGUUUGCUAGUUUUUUGUUACGGAACAUAUAUCAAAUGUUCAUUAUUUCUUGAAUUUUUAUUGUGUUUGUUGGGCAUUUAUGGGGAAAGAGCAGAGCAGAUAGUUAUUUUUGGCGUAGAUUAAUGGUGUGUAUCAACGUUCUUUUUAUAGUACAAUGCAAUGUGUUUUUGCUUCAUCUUUCCCCUUUUCCUUGUUGUUUUUGCAGGUACUACAAGUGAGAAUAAUAAUAAUAAUAAUAAUGAUAAUAAUAAUAUACUAAUAAUAAUAAUAAUAAGGCCGCAGAGAAUCUUUGCGGGUUCAAACUGUGGUUCAAUUCAAAGCGGCUGGGGAAUGUUGGGAAAGGAUUAGCACCGGCAAAACAUAAUAUCAUUAGGAAAGGAUCUUUUGGAGAUUUGUUGGACAUCCAGCCCUUCAAAGUAUCCCAUGAGCUCAUUGAGUUUGUUGUGAUGCACACGAACCAUAUGUCACGUCAGUUCAGAUAUAAGAAUAAGGUCAUUAAUUUUAGCAGGCUCAUGGUGAAGAGGAUAUUCAACGUGCCAUCGGGUGACAGACCCGUGAAGCUCCUCAAAAAGAGUGAUCAAUGCAACCUUUGCAACAUUUACAAGAGGGGAACACGGUCCCAAUCGACCAUGCAAUUGAUUUGUUGAAAUCUUGCAGCGAGACUGAUGAGUUGAUGGUAGACAGGACAUGGAUUCUCAUUGCCUUGGCAACAAUCCUAUGUCCAGGCACUCAGGAUAUGAUCAACCUUGAAUACAUGGCUUCCCUUGAAGACAUGGCUUCGGUGCACGAGUUCGCUUGGGAUGAGCACUUGUUGGCAGCAACCAAUGAGGCACUUGGUUGCAGUGUUUCAAGAGAAGAAGCGAAUCCAGCAAACAAUGAAAAAUCCUCCAGAGUUUCAAAUUAGCUCGUGUCUACAUAUGCUAGCGGUAUGCAAUGUUUUCACAUGAACAACAACCAUUUCCCUUUUGCUGCAUGCACCGUAUAUAUGCUAUAGCACACACCAUUGUUUACCUAAUGUUUUUUUGCUCUAUAAUUUUUUAUCGCGGAUCAUAUAUAUCGAUCAUCUUGAUAUCCGUACUGGCCUUCCAAAUGAGCAUGCCAUUAACUAUUCUGUGCCGAGGAUCCGUUUUGCAUGUCAAAAGGAUUUCAAUUUGGUGGAUAAAGUGGAUAAGCACCACAUUACUUUAACCCUGACUUUCUAUGGGAAACAUACCCAAUUCCAGAGCUUGUCCAAUACGCCAUACCGCCCAACUGUUGUAGGCCAGGGAGUUGGUGAAGAAGUAGCUAGUGUCCAAGCAGUUGAGGCUAAAGCAGAUGGAGGGCAAGGAAGUGAAGCUCAAGCGGCUAAAGAUCAAGGAAAUGAUGCUCAUACAAAUGAUGAAGUUGAACUGAACCUGUCGGAAUCGCUCAACGAAUGGCUUCAACAAUCAUUCCAUAGCAUUCAAGAUAUGAGGGUGCCGACUCAGUUCCAAAUGUGUAUGAAAAGCACAAAGGGAUUUAUGCAGUGGAGGUUGAUGAUUCAGUAGGCAAGUUUUGGCAGGGCUUAAAGGGAUUGCAGUGCAAUGGGAUGGCCAAUUUGCUGCAUGAUGUAGGAGAUACCAUCGCAGCUAAUGACCAGCCUAGCCUUUCCUUCGCAGCGUCUACCAUGGAUGAAGGCCCCGAGAAAGAGAGGGAUGCUCAAGUUGUAGCUGUAGGCAUUGUGAUGAAUGAAGAUCAAGUCAUAGAGGGGCUGAAAGGGAACCAGGAUGUCACAACCGGUGUCGGUGACACACACGAGCAACAAGGGGCGAGUAUCGAGGUGAUAGGACAUGUGUCACCUCGCAGCCCUCCACUCUACUGUGAUGCACCUAGGAGCAUGACAGCUGGUAUACGAGAUGAUGUUCUAUCCUGCAAUCUGUUCCGAAAGGGAUCUAAAGACUAUGAGUGGAUGCAUUCCAUGGAUUACGAUGCAAACAAAAGGACGUACCACAGUCAAGCCCCUCUACCCGAACAUCUCCGUGUUUCAUGUCUCAGAUGACGAGAACCCCAUCCGCAGCCCUGCUAUCUCUACUCCUACGAUGCUCAUUAUAGACAAGAAAAGUGUUGAUGUGAGCACAGGCCCAAGCACGCACAACAAGAACACUAGGAGAAAGAGGAUGAUCAAAGCUCCUGCAAACUAACCCAAGGCAAAGAAGUAGAAGGUCGUGGAUGAAGUUGAAGCUUUGUAUGAGAAGUACAUUAUCCAUGGAAAGCCAUUGAGGAAGUCAAAAAAGGAUGAACUGGUGAAACCUUUUGUCAAGAUAGGGGGUUGUUACAUUGGAUACAGGAAAUUUCUUUCAUGCCUGAAGCCCUGUGGGAUUAUGAAUGAUGAGGUUAUGUCGCUAUGUAUCGAGAAGUUAGACCUCGCAGCUCUUGGGUCAAGUAAUACGGGCAUCAAAAAGAUCAACUUGUAAACGACCCGUCAAGUUUUUAGCCAAGAGUACCCAUACGUGUGCUUUAAAGGGUCGUCAAUAGGUACAAGAUUCAAAAGUUUGGCCUAGUAAGUCCCAGCGUCCCCUGCUACUUCUUGAGCUUGAAUUGGUUUUUUUCCUUGAAGAGGAAAGGGUGAUGUAGCAAAGUAGAGGUAACUAUUUCCCUCAGUUUGAGA